GGUGCGGCUGCUGCUUCACGACGCAUCGCGCCAUCGCGCCAUCUCGCCGUCGCCCAUCCUUGCCCUGCGCCACCAUUAUACUUGGCGUCGGACGCGUCCUCGCGAUGCUUCUGCUCGAUCCCGGCGAGUGGGAGCCCUUCUUCCCCGUACUGUCCGUGAGGCCGCUCCGCAACUGCAGGCCCGCGCAGCGCCUGGGCUCCAUCCUGGCCGUCUCCUAAGACGAGCUCAGCGGGGACAAGGCCGUCGCCGCACAGACGGGCCACUGAUCUUGGCAAAGUCUUUGUUCGUGGGGAACCUAGACUAUGACACCAGCCACUCUUAGCUCGACCUCCUCUUCCAGCAUGACGGCCUGAUCAAUCGCAUCGACAUCAAGUCAGUGCUUGAUGCUGUGGAGGACUAGAUGAUAGGCACCAUGCCUCCGUCUCGCCAUCUACUGAACUGCUUCUCCCUUUUUGCUGCAAUGGGAGCUCGGCUUCGGAGUCCGAGCACGCAGGAGGUGGAGCUGGCCGGCGGCGUUUCAGCGAGUAGGCUGGCCGGCGUCGAUUGAGCGAGUAGGCUGCCCGGCAGCCAGCGGAGGUGCGAGAAGCCUGGUGGGCAGCUAGAAGCUAGCUAGCCGCUGGAUGGAGAUUUUGUAUUCACAUGUGCAAGCCACCCUAAUAAGCUGAGAUUGCCGGGAAAACUAGGAGAACUUGUAUCUAUUUGUGUAAUAUUUGCUAUUUGGAGACUUUCUAUAUCUGUUGUGUCAUUGAUGCAUGCACGUUAUGAAUAUUUGGAUACUUUCUAUAUCUGUUGUGUUAUUAAUGUAUAUCUUGCUGU